rnacentral:misc_RNA from 1 species
AAUCGUCUCGUCUAUCCAUUUGAUUGAUCGUCAUUUCUUCAAAAACUCAUAACCAAAAUUCAAUCCAAUUCGCUUUCUCUUCUCAAGAAACCCAAUUCCACAGUCACUUCUUGUUGUGUUUCUUCUUGUUGUUGUGUUUCUAUGAUCGAUGUAUAAAUACUGGUAACAAAUGAUGAAUGGGAGCAGGCCAACUGUGCAUCCUGUGGAGGCUCCGCCGUUGACCGAUGGACCUCUGAAUGGGCCCAGGAUGAGGAUGAAGAACGUCCAAGGCAUGCCUGGAACACACGGUGGCCUCACUCUUCGUCUGCUUCAGUUUGUGUUUGGUCUCGUCUCUCUCUGCGUCAUGGCCACCACCAGCCACUUCCGCACCUUCACAGCGUUUUGCUACCUAGUCAUUGCUGUUAGCCUGCAAAUAUCAUGGAGUUUGUCCUUGGCAAUUGUGGAUGCUUAUGCCCUUUUGGUGAGAAGAAGUCUCAGAAAACGUGCAAUUGUCCGUCUUUUUGCCAUUGGUGAUGGGAUUACAUCCACCCUUAUAUUCGCAGCUGCCAGUGCAUCUGCUGGCAUCACAGUCCUAGUUGGCAAUGAUCUUAAUAGGUGUUCUGUGAACCCCUGCGCUAGGUUUGAAACUGCCACAGCCAUGGCUUUUAUCAGCUGGUUUGCCAUGACACCAUCCUUUCUCAUGAAUUUCUGGGCAUUGGCUUCCCAGUAAGAAUUGGUUAGAUAGAAUCUUCAGUCACGUAGGACUAUACUAUAUUGCACUCUUUUUCUGAAUGGUGUGCAAUGGAGAUGUGAUUGCAACUACUUGGUAGAUGGAUAAAUUUUGUUACAGUUAGGUUAGGGGAGUUUUAAUUUUGAGAUCAUCAAUUGCAGUAUGGUGCUUUAAUUUCAAGAAAUAUGUAGAAUUUGGUCGGUUAGAAAUUAACAUGACUUUUUUUGGUCCAUUUCUC